UCGUAGGUGGUUUGUNGCGUCGUCUGUGAAAUUCCGGGGCUUAACUUCGGGGUGGCAGGCGAUACGGGCAUAACUAGAGUGCUGUAGGGGAGACUGGAAUUCCUGGUGUAGCGGUGGAAUGCGCAGAUAUCAGGAGGANCACCGAUGGCGAAGGCAGGUCUCUGGNCAGUAACUGACGCUGAGGAGCGAAAGCAUGGGGAGCGAACAGGAUUAGAUACCCUGGUAGUCCAUGCUGUAAACGGUGGGCGUUAGGUGUGGGGACCGGUUUGGUUUCUGUGCCGUAGCUAACGCAUUAAGCGCCCCGCCUGGGGAGUACGGCCGCAAGGCUAAAACUCAAAGGAAUUGACGGGGGCCCGCACAAGCGGCGGAGCAUGUGGAUUAAUUCGAUGCAACGCGAAGAACCUUACCUGGGUUUGACAUGCACCAGACGGUUGUAGAGAUACGUACCUCCCUUUGUGGUUGGUGUGCAGGUGGUGCAUGGUUGUCGUCCGCUCGUGUCGUGAGAUGUUGGGUUAUGUCCCGCAACGAGCGCAACCCUUGUCUUAUGUUGCCAGCACUUUGGGUGGGGACUCAUGAGAGACUGCCGGGGUUAACUCGGAGGAAGGUGGGAAUGACGUCAAAUCAUCAUGCCCUUUAUGCCCAGGGCUUCACACAUGCUACAAUGGUUAGUACAACGCGCUGCGAACCUGUGAGGGUGAGCGAAUCGCUGAAAGCUAAUCUCAGUUCGGAUUGGGGUCUGCAGCUCGACCCCAUGAAGUCGGAGUCGCUAGUAAUCGCAGAUCAGCAAUGCUGCGGUGAAUACGUUCCCGGGCCUUGUACACACCGCCCGUCACGUCAUGAAAGUUGGUAACACCCGAAGCCCAUGGCCUAACCACCGUUUGGUGGGGGGAGUG
rnacentral:rRNA from 1 species